GCCUAGCGGCUGCACACCUGCGAGAUGGCGGAGGGACUGCAGACCCGGGUGCGGGAGACCAGCGCCGGCGAAGACAGGCGGGCGAGGGAGGCCCCUCCAGCGUCCUGCUGGGGUUGAGUUGGGGCGGCUCGUCCCGUGGCCGCUGGGUCGUCUGGUUUCCGCUUUCCGAAAGAAAUGAGAGGAGAGGCAAGUGGAGUCGCUGAACUUUAAUUAAACCGUAGAGAAGACAGUGGGGGGAGGGGAAAAAAAACGAUCGGAGAAGGAGGAGAAGGCGGCCGAGAGAUCGAGGAAAGGAAGUCCUGGCGGCUCGGGGGAACUUGGAGAUCUCUCCAAGGGGCUGAAAGCUGGAAGUUGUAUGAAGGUGUUCCUUUUCCACACCCCAGCUACUCUGCCCCAGUCGAAGAGGCUAAUUCUGGCCCUCUUAUAAAAAAAAGAAAGAAAAGCCUUGUUUUCUCUAGAUCAGAGAGAUGGCUUCUGGAUUCAUCUUUCCCUGCAAUCCAGCUUCUCCUCCUGGGGCCCUCAUACUGGAGACUGGGAUCAUCAUCCAGGCUUUUGCACUGGGCCAGGAAUUUGGGAGUCAUCCUGGAUCCGUCUGCCCCUGUCAACCUUUCGCUGUCAACGGAUAUUUAUUGGGCGUCCUCAACAGCCAGGCCCUGUUCAUGGUACUGAAGAACAGCUUGUAUAAAACAACCCUGCCCUCACAGGGCGAUCACCAGUGACCUGUGGUGUGGAGUCUCCUUUUACCUAUGUCUCCUCCUUCCCACUGUCACCAUCCUUGGUCCUCCUCUGUCACCUGGAAUACUCCACUUGGUAACCAGCAUGAUCUUAUAACGCUAGUUUUACCCUUGUCAGCACUUUGCCAAAAACCUCAAAUAAAGACUUUUUUUAAAAUGUGCAAUGGAAAAAUAAAGUUAUAAAUUAUAUCAUAACC
rnacentral:lncRNA from 10 species